AAACAUGAGAGUGAUCUAGCUGUGUGACAUGUCACCCUAUUGACCAUCAAGGUUGAUUCAAUUAAUAUGACUGGCUAUAAGGGUGUUCCAUUCCUCCUUUACUACUCUGUGUGUUUUUCCUGGAGUUGUGAGUUGGGAUGAAGAACCUUCCCUGAGAGAGACAUACUAUUCUUCAGUCAAGGCUAUGCAAGUAGGUGCUAGAACAUGUUCGCAGUUACAACCUAGAAGAACAAGGAGGAGGUAAAGACAAGCUUAAGGAUAAAAAUAGUCUGCCCACAGUUCUGGGAAUUCAACAG
rnacentral:snRNA from 1 species